rnacentral:rRNA from 1 species
CAGUAGCCGCGGGAAUACGGAGGGUGCAAGCGUUAAUCGGAAUUACUGGGCGUAAAGCGCACGCAGGCGGUCUGACAAGUCAGAUGUGAAAUCCCCGGGCUUAACCUGGGAACUGCAUUUGAAACUGUCAGGCUGGAGUCUUGUAGAGGGGGGUGGAAUUCCAGGUGUAGCGGUGAAAUGCGUAGAGAUCUGGAGGAAUACCGGUGGCGAAGGCGGCCCCCUGGACAAAGACUGACGCUCAGGUGCGAAAGCGUGGGGAGCAAACAGAAUUAGAUACCCCUGUAGUCCCUGUCUCUUAUAC